GAAAUGCGAUAAGUAAUGUGAAUUGCAGAAUUCAGUGAAUCAUCGAAUCUUUGAACGCACAUUGCGCCCCUUGGUAUUCCGGGGGGCAUGCCUGUUAGAGCGUCAUUUCAACCCUCAAGCGCAGCUUGGUGUUGGGCCCUGCCAGCGAUGGCAGGCCCUAAAAUUAGUGGCGGUGCCGCUGAGCCCUGAGCGUAGUAAUCUUCUCGCUACAGGGUAUCUGCGUGCCUUCGCCAGAACCCCCAAUUUUCUAUGGUUUGACCUCGGAUCAGGUAGGGAUACCCGCUGAACUUAA
rnacentral:misc_RNA from 1 species